UACGAAGGGUGCAAGCGUUACCCGGAAUCACUGGGCGUAAAGGGAGCGUAGGCGGUUAUGCAGGUCAUACGUUAAAGGAUCCGGCUCAACCGGAGAGAUGCAUAUGAAACCGUAUAACUUGAGGAUAUCAGAGGAAAAGGGAAUUACCAUUGUAGGGGUGAAAUCCGUAGAGAGUGGUAAGAAUGCCGGUGGCGAAGGCGCUUUUCCGGGGGUAUACCUGACGCUGAGGCUCGAAAGCCAGGGGAGCGAACCGG
rnacentral:rRNA from 1 species